AACCUCAAAUCAGGUAGGAUUGCCCGCUGAACUUAAGCAUAUCAAUAAGCGGAGGAAAAGAAACUAACAAGGAUUCCCCUAGUAACUGCGAGUGAAGCGGGAAGAGCUCAAAUUUAAAAUCUGGCAGUUCUCUGAGCUGUCCGAGUUGUAAUCUAGAGAAGUGCUUUCCGUGCUGGACCGUGUACAAGUCUCUUGGAAUGGAGCGUCAUAGAGGGUGAGAAUCCCGUCUUUGACACGGACUACCAGUGCUUUUGUGAUGCACUCUCGAAGAGUCGAGUUGUUUGGGAAUGCAGCUCAAAAUGGGUGGUAAAUUCCAUCUAAAGCUAAAUAUAGGCGAGAGACCGAUAGCGAACAAGUACCGUGAGGGAAAGAUGAAAAGAACUUUGAAAAGAGAGUUAAACAGUACGUGAAAUUGUUGAAAGGGAAACGC
rnacentral:rRNA from 1 species